AUUCAGAGUGGAAGUGUGAAUGGCAGCUUUUGAGAGUCUGCUGUGAGAAACCGCUGAGCCCAUUUACUCUGAGGGUGGUGCUAUGGCAUCACAGCACUCUUUCUAUACUCAAUGGUCAGCCUGACAGGUAGUCAGAUUGGUGGGAAGGGGAUAGUGGCAGCAGAGGGUUGUGGUUUGCUUUGAAGUUUGGCCACAUCUCCUGAGAUGGGAAAUAACUUGGAGCCUCCAAGUCUGGUUGGAUAGCUCACAAGCAGUGCUAUGGACGGGAUUCAGAGAGCCAUGAUUAGGGAGAACCAAGUGCAUCUUCAUUUUUUUAAAAAAAGAUUUUAUUUAUUUAUUCAUGAGAGAGACACACACACACACACAGAGAGAGAGAGAGAGAGAGAGAGAGGGGCAGAGACACAGGCAGAGGGAGAAGUAGGCUCCAUGUAGGGAGCCUGACAUGGGACGGCGGCGCUAAACAACUGAGCCACCCAGGCUGCCCCCAAGUGCAUCUUCAGCCAAGCAAGGCAAAGCCUCAGCCCAGGAACUGUAGGAGUCAGCAGGCAGAUGUGUGUGGGAGGUUAUCCACUACCAGCCUCCACCAGGGUGCACUCUUUGGGGCCUAAGCAAUUUCAUCAUGCAUGUAGCUUCCUAAUACAUCAUGCAUUCGACCUUUUUGGAGCUCUGUGUCUUGACUUUUGGCUGUUCUUCAAAGACUCCUUCUUCUACAUCAUUGGUUUAAUUUUUGUUGUAGCAGUUCAAGUAAGAAAUCCUGCUCAGUUAAGAAACCUCAAGUUCAUCUCUCCUAACCCCCACCAUGCUGGCCUCACUAUGGAGUUGGGUGUCCACUUCUUGGCUGGCUCUAUUGUAGCAGCCUUUCUUCAUCAGUGUGUCUGGAACAGAUCAGGAGGUACUAUGGAGCCCCAGUAACACGAAAUGAGCACAGGGAAAAUGUGCCAGGUUCUUAGAGCAGGUAAGUACUUUUUUUGAAAAAGAGCUCUUGGCUUGCCACUGGGCUUGGGUAGAGUUUGAACACCUGGUCAUUAAACACCAAGAUACCAUGUAACCUAAGCUGCCUUACAUGGACCAGGUGUUAGCUGGUCCAAUUAGCUAUUAUACUGCGCCUGCCCAGAGGUACUACAUCAAAAAAGGGAAUUCGACCAAGUAGGGCAAAC
rnacentral:lncRNA from 1 species